UAAAGAAGGAUGAGGAGAAGCAAAAGAACAAGAUGGAGGAUAAGAAAAAGGAGAACGAGAAGAAGAGGAGGAGGAGGAGGAGAAAGAAGAAGAAAGGAAAAAGAAGGAGGAGAAAGAGAAGGAGAAAAAGCAGAAGGAGAAGAAGGAGAAGAAGAAGAAGAAGAGGAGGAGGAGGAGGAGGAGAAAGAAGAAGAAAGGAAAAAGAAGGAGGAGAAAGAGAAGGAGAAAAAGCAGAAGGAGAAGAAGGAGAAGAAGAAGAAGAGGAGGAGGAGGAGGAGG